rnacentral:rRNA from 1 species
GAUGAACGCUGGCGGCGUGCCUAAUACAUGCAAGUCGAGCGAACGGACGAGAAGCUUGCUUUUCUGAUGUUAGCGGCGGACGGGUGAGUAACACGUGGAUAACCUACCUAUAAGACUGGGAUAACUUCGGGAAACCGGAGCUAAUACCGGAUAAUAUUUUGAACCGCAUGGUUCAAAAGUGAAAGACGGUCUUGCUGUCACUUAUAGAUGGAUCCGCGCUGCAUUAGCUAGUUGGUAAGGUAACGGCUUACCAAGGCAACGAUGCAUAGCCGACCUGAGAGGGUGAUCGGCCACACUGGAACGGAGACACGGUCCAGACUCCUACGGGAGGCAGCAGUAGGGAAUCUUCCGCAAUGGGCGAAAGCCUGACGGAGCAAGGCCGCGUGAGUGAUGAAGGUCUUCGGAUCGUAAAACUCUGUUAUUAGGGAAGAACAUAUGUGUAAGUAACUGUGCACAUCUUGACGGUACCUAAUCAGAAAGCCACGGCUAACUACGUG